rnacentral:snRNA from 1 species
GGAUGUAAGGGUGAUAUGACUGUGACUUCUGUCACCCCAUUGAUUACCAGGGUUGAUUGGGCUAAUCUGGCUGGCUAGGCGGGUGUCUGCUUCCUCCCUCACCUCUCCAUGUGCGUCCCUUCUGAAGCUGUGUGCUCAGUUGAAGAGGAUGGCCAUCCCCGAUAGAGGAGGACUGGUCUUUGGUCAAGGGUAUACAAGUACUGUGCUCCCCUGCUAGAACUUCCAAACAAGCUCCCAAGUAGCUAGAACUACAGGUUUGCACCACCACAUUCAGCUAAUUUUUUAUCU